rnacentral:rRNA from 1 species
GCCUUAGAGUUUGAUCCUGGCUCAGGACGAACGCUGGCGGCGCGCCUAACACAUGCAAGUCGAACGGAGUUGUGUUGAAAGCUUGCUGGAUAUACAACUUAGUGGCGGACGGGUGAGUAACACGUGAGUAACCUGCCUCUCAGAGUGGAAUAACGUUUGGAAACGAACGCUAAUACCGCAUAACGUGAGAAGAGGGCAUCCUCUUUUUACCAAAGAUUUAUCGCUGAGAGAUGGGCUCGCGGCCGAUUAGGUAGUUGGUGAGAUAACAGCCCACCAAGCCGACGAUCGGUAGCCGGACUGAGAGGUUGAUCGGCCACAUUGGGACUGAGACACGGCCCAGACUCCUACGGGAGGCAGCAGUGGGGGAUAUUGCACAAUGGGGGAAACCCUGAUGCAGCGACGCCGCGUGAGGGAAGACGGUUUUCGGAUUGUAAACCUCUGUCCUUAGGGACGAAAAAAUGACGGUACCUAAGGAGGAAGCCACGGCUAACUACGUGCCAGCAGCCGCGGUAAUACGUAGGUGGCAAGCGUUGUCCGGAAUUACUGGGUGUAAAGGGAGCGUAGGCGGGGAGACAAGUUGAAUGUCUAAACUAUCGGCUUAACUGAUAGUCGCGUUCAAAACUAUCACUCUUGAGUGCAGUAGAGGUAGGCGGAAUUCCUAGUGUAGCGGUGAAAUGCGUAGAUAUUAGGAGGAACACCAGUGGCGAAGGCGGCCUACUGGGCUGUAACUGACGCUGAGGCUCGAAAGCGUGGGUAGCAAACAGGAUUAGAUACCCUGGUAGUCCACGCCGUAAACGAUGAUUACUAGGUGUGGGGGGACUGACCCCUUCCGUGCCGGAGUUAACACAAUAAGUAAUCCACCUGG